CUCAAAUCUCUUCAGAACGCACUAUCCCUUCUGCCUGAAGAAACAUAUUUGCCUCUCUCUGUUUGGGCUGAUAUAAUGCCGAGUUUCUCAAAUUUGGCAUUAUUGACAUUUUGGAAUGGAUAAUUCUUUGUUGUGGGGAAUAGCAUGUACACUGCGGAAUGUUUAGUAGCAUUCCUGGCCUCUACUCAAUAACACCAAUAGCACCCCUCUCCCAUUUGUGACAACCAGACAUAUCUCCAGACAUUGUCAAGUGUACUCCAGGAGACAAAACUGCCCAGUUGAAAAUCACUAGUGCAAUGGAAAGAAGCCAGCCCUCGGUAAUUCUUCUGGACCAUAAGUAAGAAAGGACAGACUGAGGACACACAGAAUCCAGCUUACAAGGAAAAGAAGUUUUGUCCUUGCUAUCUGAUUCAAAUGAAAAUCACAUGUUUGUCUCCUAACAUAAGACAAAAUUAUAGAAAUCAAGGUUAAAACACAAAAAUCUUGUGAUGCACCUGGGGGACUCAGUUGGUUAUGCAGCCAACUCUUGAUUUUGGCUCAGAAACCACCCUCUAUUAUGAGAGAAAGACCAUAUCAUCAGCCCCGUGUGACUAAGAAGAUGCUCAUUGUUUGGCUUCUUUCAGAUGCAGGGUAAACACAUGUUCACUUGGUGAAUCUGCAAUACCUAAUUCAUGGAACAUUCAUGUUUUCAAAUUAACUACUCGAAGAAGGACAUUCAUAUCAAU
rnacentral:lncRNA from 1 species